rnacentral:rRNA from 1 species
GAUGAACGCUGACAGAAUGCUUAACACAUGCAAGUCUUUGGCGAAGCUGUGCUUGCACAGCCUAGCCAAGGCGGACGGGUGAGUAACGCGUAAGGAACUUGCCCUGCAGUCAGGGAUAACAGACGGAAACGACUGAUAAGACCUGGUAAAGUCAGGCGGACUCAUGUCCAGCCUGAUGAAAAGUGAUGCUGCAGGAGAGCCUUGCGUCCUAUUAGCUUGUUGGUGGGGUAACGGCCCACCAAGGCGAUGAUAGGUAGCCGGCCUGAGAGGGUGGACGGCCACAAGGGGACUGAGAUACGGCCCUUACUCCUACGGGAGGCAGCAGUGGGGAAUAUUGGACAAUGGGGGCAACCCUGAUCCAGCAAUUCUGUGUGCACGAUGAAGGUUUUCGGAUUGUAAAGUGCUUUCAGCAGGGAAGAGAAAAAUGACGGUACCUGCAGAAGAAGCGACGGCUAAAUACGUG